GGGGGUGUAACUCAGUUGGUAGAGUGCUUGCCUAGUGUGCAAGAAGUCCUGAGUUCAGUCCCCAGCACCNCAU
rnacentral:tRNA from 1 species